rnacentral:rRNA from 1 species
CUCUUUCCCCAUUCCCACUCCGCAGUGUCCCCGGCGCCCCGCCCACCCACCCACUUCGCCGGCGGCGGGAGGAGCUUUGGCCGGAGCCUCCCCCGCCGCCGCCGCCUCCACCACCCUCACCGCCGCAUCGCCGCAGGAGGAGGAGGAGGGAGGAGGCCAUGGGGCACGGGGUGAGCUGCGCGCGCACCGGCGACGAGCACGACUUCUUCCGCGCGGCGCAGCUCGGGGACCUCGACGCCCUGGGCGCGCUCCUCGCCGCCGACGCCUCCCUCGCCCGCCGCGCCACCCUCUACGACCGCCUCUCCCCGCUCCACAUCGCCGCCGCCAAUGGCCGCCUCGAGGCGCUCUCCAUGUUCCUGGAUCGCGGGGCGCAGCCGGACGCCGUGGAUCGGCACAAGCAGACCCCCCUGAUGCUCGCCGCCAUGCACGGCAAGAUCGGCUGCGUGCUCAAGCUCCUCCAGGCCGGCGCAAACAUCUUGAUGUUCGACUCGGUGCACGCGCGGACCUGCCUCCACCACGCGGCCUACUACGGCCACGUCGACUGCCUGGACGCCAUCCUCUCCACGGCGCGGACCACGCCGGUGGCCGGCUCAUGGGGGUUCGCCCGGUUCGUCAACGUCAGGGACGACCACGGCGCCACGCCGCUGCACCUCGCCGCCAGGCAGGGCCGGCCGGGCUGCGUGCAGGUGCUGCUGGAGAACGGCGCCAUCGUGUCGGCAUUGACCGGAUCAUACGGCUUCCCUGGUAGCACGUCGCUGCAUUUGGCCGCUCGCAGCGGGGACUUGGAUUGCAUCCGGAAGCUGCUUGCCUGGGGAGCUGAUCGGCUCCAAAGGGACUCUGCCGGGAGAAUCCCCUAUGUGGUGGCACAUAAGCGCAACCACGGGGCAUGCGCGGCAUUGCUGAACCCUUCGUCGGCAGAGCCUAUGGUGUGGCCUUCCCCGCUCAAGUUCAUCAGCGAGCUCGACCCGGAAGCCAAGGCUCUGCUGGAAGCGGCCCUGAUGGAAGCCAACAGGGAGAGGGAGAAGAAGAUCCUGAAGGACGCAAAGUGCUCGCCGCAGUCCCCUUUGGUGUACGAUGAUGAUCACAUCGACGACGACAUGUUCUCGGAGGUGAGCGACACGGAGCUGUGCUGCAUCUGCUUCGACCAGGCGUGCACCAUCGAGGUGCAGGACUGCGGGCACCAGAUGUGCGCGCCCUGCACGCUGGCGCUGUGCUGCCACAACAAGCCCAACCCGGCGACCCUGACAAUGCCCUCGCCGGCCUGCCCGUUCUGCCGCGGCAGCAUCUCACGGCUGGUGGUGGCCCGUGCACAGACAGCAGACGGCGGCGACCCCGACAGGCCAGCCUCCCCGCAGCUCGCGCACCGGCGGUCCCGGCGCUCCCACAACCUCAGUGAGGGCAGCAGCAGCUUCAAGGGGCUGUCCUCGGCCAUCUCCAAGAUCGCCCGCGGCUCGAGCCGGAUGGCCGAGAGCGACAGCGCUGCCAUGGACAAGCCCGAGCACGAUCCGUGACCGAGGCAGAACACACAGAUUUCGGACCUCCACAGCCUCUGAAAACCCCAGAUGAUGAGAAGAGAAGAGAAAAAGGAAAAAAAUCCAUGGAAGCUCUAGGUAGGAACCAAAUAAGCACCCUCCAUUUCCACCCAUCCUUUUGUUUGUGUGCCCUGUAUUUUUGGAGUCGCCGGCCGGCCAAUCUUUCGGAAAUGCAUAUAGGCUGAGCUCUGUGAUGAGAUGAGAUGAGGGGAGCUGUUCAUCAUCAUGGAGCCUGGUGUUGGCGAAUGAUGCCGGCAUCUGAUCUGACUGCUGCUGCUGCUUCACGGUUCAAUGAUCUCUGAAUCUGGCCUGCCGCGGCCAUGCCAUGGCAUGUGGGCGCUGUCCCCCCGCUGUCCUGUGCGUGCGUUGGAUCACGGCCAUUUUUGGACCUUAAUGCCUCUUGUUUAAUGGCAGCGCGGCGGCAGGGUGGCCCGGUCCUGUCCUUGGAUGGAUCGCCAUGACUGACUUUGGCUGCUGCUGCUGCUGCUGCGGUGCUGCCUAGAUGAGUUGAUGGCAUUGUAGACUGCCACUUUGAUCCGUGACUGCUUGCUGUAAUGUUUCCUUUGUCCGUGUUGCAACUGUAUCUUCAAAUGUCGCUCAAUUUUACUACUCCCUCCGUUCCAUUUCAUAAUAUAAGAGUGUUUCUUACACUAGCGUCAGUGUCAAGAACGCUCUUAUAUCAUGAGACGAUGCACGAGGAAAGUAAAAAUAUCCUUGGAACUUGCUUGUUAUCCUGUAGUAAUUUUAUCCCGUCUGUCUCUG